rnacentral:sRNA from 1 species
UGUUUCUUCUUCUUCUUCUUCGG